rnacentral:rRNA from 1 species
AUGAUGGCGGCAGAGACGGCGGAGGAGUGGAGGCUGGCGUGUGAGUCCGAGUGCCGUUUGCGCAAUUGCGAGUGCCGCUGGUGUCGUCUCUGCUCCCCCCGGAUCCCCCGCGUCGCCCACGGGAGGGACUACUCCUCCAUCCCUGCCGGCAUCGACCAUCGGCCCGCCUGGUCGCUGCUCGUCGGCCUCAGGGACGGCGCCGUCCUCCGGCUCAAACGCCUCGGCCUGGCGCGGUCCGGGCGGAUCCUCGGCCGGAGCGACGACGCACUCGAGGCUUUCCAGGAGGCCCUGCCGAGGUGCGGUUGCUGGUGA